AGUGAACGCUGGCGGUAGGCCUAACACAUGCAAGUCGAACGGCAGCACAGUAAGAGCUUGCUCUUACGUGUGUCGAGUUGCGUACGGGUGAGGAAUACAUCGGAAUCUACUUUUUCUUGUGGGAUAACGUAGGGAAACUUACUCUAAUACCGCAUACGACCUACGGUUUUAAUCUUGUGAUCUUCUCACCUUUCUCGUUUUAUUUAGCCGAUGUCGGAUUAGCUAGUUGGCUGGGUAAAGGCCCACCAAGGCGACGAUCCGUAGCUGGUCUGAGAGGAUGAUCAGCCACACUGGAACUGAGACACGGUCCAGACUCCUACGGGAGGCAGCAGUGGGGAAUAUUGGACAAUGGGCGCAAGCCUGAUCCAGCCAUACCGCGUGGGUGAAGAAGGCCUUCGGGUUGUAAAGCCCUUUUGUUGGGAAAGAAAAGCAGCAGGUUAAUACCCCGCUGUUCUGACGGUACCCAAAGAAUAAGCACCGGCUAACUUCGUG
rnacentral:rRNA from 1 species